GUUGAUGAGCUGCAUUUAUUGAUUGAAUGGGACUCUGUGCAUCCCACAUUUUUGCGCAUAUAACCAACACUCAGAAACUCUGUCACAAACCUUCCAACGCUCAUAGAAAAGAAAAAUAUUAUUUAUGUAACUUAUCGGUUUCAUUGGUUAACUAAAAUUAUAAAGAUGUGAAUAGAUGAGUGGAUUAAUUGAGCAAAAAUAAUUAUAAAAAAAAGCUACUCUCCCAGUUUUUUUUUUAUGUAGAUGUCUCACAAAAGCACAAUCUCUGGGUUAGCAUUAAAUGUUACCAUGGAAAUAUAGUUUUUCUAAAACUUUUUUUUAAAAGAGCAAUAAUUAAUUCGAAAAAGGAAUAUUGAUGUGAAGAAUGAAAGGUAUCUGUUUAGAUGGCGUCACAUGCCCUUUAUCUGUGCUUUAUUCCAUUGUCUUGUUCAGAAGCUGAGCCUGCCGCUAGUUCAUGUACUUCCAUUUGAAUAGCUCUCUCAGGGCGUAGCGCCUCCCUGUCCAAAAAAGGCCAGCAGCAGCGUAAAGCAUCUGACCAACUGCUUUCGAUUGCUUUUGCAGGAGAGCUACUCAUACUGCCGUCAUAGUGUAAUUACUUUACUAACUUAACAGUCUACUAAUGCCAUUAGCCGCAAACAUACAGUUUGAUGCAAAUAGUGAAACAGUUUUUCAAUGGCACAAUUACUCAGUUAUUAACAAACAGUAGAACAUUUGCCAAAAAAAAAAGUUCUAACUAACAGAAUUAUAGUUAUGAGUAUCCACUUAACAUUUUCCUCCCAAAAGUGAUGUUAGUUUACCGUGUAUUUGACCUUUGCAUAGAUCACACGAGUUUGGAAGGGAGGGCGAGUCAGGAUGGAGUUGCAGCUGGACUGGUGGUAGAGAGAGACAUGGCUUUUCACACAUCUUGUUUUGGUCUAUAGACAGUGCUUAACGGUUUACCUUGUGUUAAACUUCCUUUAUGCAUCUGCAUUCAGUGACGAUUUAUUCAGUUGAGGUUUAAUACAUUUCCUGGAAACAAAUGAAUCUCACCUCCAGGGUGUAGUUUUCAUUUUGGCGUGGUUGUAGAGUCCCUACAAACCACGUCACUCUGGGUAGAAAGACUUUUUUCUUUAUAAAUAAAAAACAAUCAACAAAGAAGCCAAUUAGCCACUCAGAACAGGCAUGAAAAUAGAGUAAAAUGAUGUAAUGUAAUCUUCUAGUCCAGAGCUCACCUGAUUUUUUCUAUAUCUGCAGUAAGGAACAGUGGAAAACACCUGGAUUUGAGACAGACAAGUACCAGUUUAUCUAACCCACUGUUAGAAAAUUGAAGCAAAAUGUGGCAUCUUGGUGUCAACAAGCUUUUCUGAAUAUUUGCUUUAACUUCUCCAGAUAUCUUUAUCAUGUAUAGAUCGGUUGUUGCAACCUCACAUAAGGAACAGUCAAAGUCAGGCCAGGGUCAAAUGCAGUUACAGAUUACUGUACAUAAAAAAGGUCAAAAUAUUCCCUUUCAUAAUCAUCCUCCUUGUUUGGUUGAACGUUUGUUUAAGGACUUCCCAGUGCUUUAUGCAUACUUCACACAUUGGUGAACAGUGGCAGCAGCCUGCCUUCAUUUGUCCAGGACCAUCGCUAUCCAGUGGGAGACUUAAUUGCACCUGAAGUCUAAGUAAAGCCUGGUCGGCACAACGGGUCUUUGAUCUGACUUGAAAGGAGUUAAUUGAUUUCUGUGUUGCAAGGAGUGUUCCAGGGGUGAGACCGAGAAAGGGAGAGAAAAGAUGUUUGCUGGUCAUUUCACAACAUGUGGCGAAUAUCUGCAAGAGAAAGAUUGGGGGGGGGGGAUGGAGGGAUGAAGAGAGAGAUCACCUCACACCCGACUCCAUCCCUGUACAAUUACAGUAAUGUGACUCACAUGGGCCGACCGCCUUGGCAGAAAAAGGAAGAAAAAGGGGGAGGAAGAAAAGGGGUUCCCUGCUCUGGGACAUCACUCAUCUUACCUCCAGCUGAAGUAUGGAAAGACGCGUAUGAUGAGCGGCUUCCUUCUAAGUGCAGCUCAGGGGCUUGUUAAGGCGGCGGUAUGGUGAAGACCACACGUCCAACGUUUUGCUUCCAGACUCAGUCAGGGUUUCUAACACUUAAUGACAUCAACAGCCAACGAAAACCAUCUGAGGCUCUGCUCAUUGUUGUUGCAUGCUCCUCAUGAAGCUUGACAGGAAGAUGCUUCUUCUGGAAAAUGAACAUGAGAUGGACCUGUUCGUUCCUGCGUUCUUCUUCGCCCUCCAAGGCAUCAUCAAAGAUGUGCAACUCUGAUGAGCAACAACUCAGCUCACCAUGUGUCCUCCUGCUAAUCACACUCCCAGAGAAGAAAAGGAGGGAGGAGGAGGUGGGGAGGAAGCAGGAGCAGAGGAAGAAGGAAUAAAAGACAAGAAUAUAUAGGAUGAGUAGUCAGCCUGUCUCCAGCCUGGACACACACACAUGCACAUGUAGAUGGCGUUAAUACCUGUGCCGGCAAUGAGCUUCAUUCGGAUGACCAUAUGACAAGAUGGCGACUGUGUGAUUUGGAUAGUGUGUGACAGAAGACAGAGGCAGAGUGCAGAACAGACACCCGGUUUGAUGAGGGAGUGUUUGCUCUGUAACACAUCUCAAACCCAACAGCACCUGUUCUUUUACAGUGGUCUGUCACUUCCUGGCAGUUCUGAUACCAAGAUACCGUGCUAAUGAGAGAGAAGGGGGGUUGUCACUCUUAAGCACACACACACACACCCCCACACACACACAUAUAGAGACAUGCGUACUCUUUUUGUCUCUCGUUUUCACAAAUACUAGAGCUGUAAAAAGAAGGAGCUGCGUACAGAUGAUUUUCUUCCUACAGAUGCCUGUAGGCUACAGUAUUUCAUCAGAAAUAGGGAGAAUUUUGUAGUUCUCUAUUUUAUGUAUGUAUAUGUCACUUUUUUUUUUUUUUUAUAUAGGGGUGAUUGAAAGAUUGAAAAGAAACUGAACAUAAAUGUUAAUUAAAGGGUUUUUUAAGUCAGGUUGUGUUCAAAUAUUAUAGCCCCUUAAUUUCUUAUGGUGGUGGAUAACCUCCUCUGUGUCAGAGACAGAGCAGCUAGGCCUCAUCGGACUAUACUGUCUAAA